GACGAACGCUGGCGGCGUGCUUAACACAUGCAAGUCGUACGGUAAGGCCCUUUCGGGGGUCCACGAGUGGCGAACGGGUGAGUAACACGUGCGUAACCUGCCCACAACUUUGGGAUAACGCUAGGAAACUGGUGCUAAUACUGGAUAUGUGCUCCUGCUGCAUGGUGGGGGUUGGAAAGCUCCGGCGGUUGUGGAUGGACUCGCGGCCUAUCAGCUUGCUGGUGGGGUAGUGGCCUACCAAGGCGGCGACGGGUAGCCGGCCUGAGAGGGUGACCGGCCACAUUGGGACUGAGAUACGGCCCAGACUCCUACGGGAGGCAGCAGGGGGGAAUAUUGCACAAGGGGCGCAAGCCUGAUGCAGCAACGCCGCGUGCGGGAGGACGGCCUUCGGGUUGAAAACCGCUUUCAGCAGGGACGAAGCUUUUUGUGACGGUACCUGCAGAAGAAGCACCGGCUAACUACGUG
rnacentral:rRNA from 1 species